ensembl:misc_RNA Y_RNA Y RNA
GGCUGGUCCAAAGGUAGUGAGUUAUGUCAAUGAAUUCUUCAGUCAAUUAUAGAUCAAACUCCUUGUUCUCCUCUUUUCUCCCUUCUCACUACUGCACUUGACUACUCAUAA